GAUGAACGCUAGCGGCAGGCCUAAUACAUGCAAGUCGAGCGGUAACAGGUGUAGCAAUACAUGCUGACGAGCGGCGCACGGGUGCGUAACACAUAUGCAACUUACCUUUAACUGGAGGAUAGCCGCCCGAAAGGGUGAUUAAUACUCCAUAACAUUAUGAAACAGCAUUGUUUUAUAAUUAAAGCUCCGGCGGUUAAAGAUAGGCAUGCGUCCGAUUAGCUAGUUGGCGAGGUAAAAGCUCACCAAGGCUACGAUCGGUAGGGGUUCUGAGAGGAUAUACCCCCACACUGGUAAUGAGACACGGACCAGACUCCUACGGGAGGCAGCAGUAUGGAAUAUUGGACAAUGGAGGCAACUCUGAUCCAGCCAUGCCGCGUGAAGGAUGAAGGUGCUAUGCAUUGUAAACUGCUUUAGCAAGGGAAGAAAAAGCUCAUGCGUGAGAAAUUGACGGUACCUUGAGAAUAAGCACCGGCUAACUACGUGCCAGCCGCCGCAGUAAUAC
rnacentral:rRNA from 1 species